AUAACGACUCUCGGCAACGGAUAUCUCGGCUCUCGCAUCGAUGAAGAACGUAGCGAAAUGCGAUACUUGGUGUGAAUUGCAGAAUCCCGUGAACCAUCGAGUUUUUGAACGCAAGUUGCGCCCCAAGCCUCCGGGCCGAGGGCACGCCUGCCUGGGCGUCACGC
rnacentral:rRNA from 1 species